rnacentral:tRNA from 1 species
GGUUCCGUAGCUCAGCUGGAUAGAGCAACUGCCUUCUAAGCAGUAGGCCGCGCGUUCGAAUCGCGCCGGAAUCA